rnacentral:rRNA from 1 species
UACGUAGGGUGCGAGCGUUAAUCGGAAUUACUAGGCGUAAAGCGUGCGCAGGCGGCGCCGCAAGUCAAGUGUGAAAGCCCCGGGCUUAACCUGGGAACUGCGCUUGAAACUACGGAACUCGAGUGUGGCAGAGGAAGGUGGAAUUCCACGUGUAGCGGUGAAAUGCGUAGAGAUGUGGAGGAACACCGAUGGCGAAGGCAGCCUUCUGGGCCAACACUGACGCUCAUGCACGAAAGCGUGGGGAGCAAACAGG